UGGGGAAUUUUGGACAAUGGGCGAAAGCCUGAUCCAGCAAUGCCGCGUGUGUGAAGAAGGCCUUCGGGUUGUAAAGCACUUUUGUCCGGAAAGAAAUCCUUGGCUCUAAUACAGUCGGGGGAUGACGGUACCGGAAGAAUAAGCACCGGCUAACUACGUGCCAGCAGCCGCGGUAAUACGUAGGGUGCAAGCGUUAAUCGGAAUUACUGGGCGUAAAGCGUGCGCAGGCGGUUUGCUAAGACCGAUGUGAAAUCCCCGGGCUCAACCUGGGAACUGCAUUGGUGACUGGCAGGCUAGAGUAUGGCAGAGGGGGGUAGAAUUCCACGUGUAGCAGUGAAAUGCGUAGAGAUGUGGAGGAAUACCGAUGGCGAAGGCAGCCCCCUGGGCCAAUACUGACGCUCAUGCACGAAAGCGUGGGGAGCAAAACAGGAUUAGAUACCCUGGUAGUCCACGCCCUAAAACGAUGUCAACUAGUUGUUGGGGAUUCAUUUCCUUAGUAACGUAGCUAACGCGUGAAGUUGACCGCCUGGGGAGUACGGUCGCAAGAUUAAAACUCAAAGGAAUUGACGGGGU
rnacentral:rRNA from 1 species